CGAGUCAGCUAAGCAAUCGCUGUAUGAGAUGGCGUUUAUGGCCUAUCGAAAAUAGAGGAAAGUCCGGGCUUCAUAGAACACAGUGCCAGAUAACAUCUGGAAGGCGCGAGCCUCUGGAUAGUGCCACAGAAAAUAAACUACUGUCGCGUAUAGCGACAGAAAAGGUGAAAAGGUGCGGUAAGAGCGCACCGCGUACUUGGUAACAAGUGCGGCAGGGUAAACCCCACUGGAAGUAAGGUCAAAUAGGAAUCCGAUAACGUUGUUCGCGUUGGAUUCGGGUAGACUGCUUGAGGUUGAUGGCGACAUCAAUCCCAGAUAAAUGAUUGUUCACGACAGAACCCGGCUUAUCGGUUGACUCAUUUC
rnacentral:RNase_P_RNA from 2 species